rnacentral:lncRNA from 1 species
UGAAGAUGAAGACUCCGCCUACAGAUAGCGAGCUUUAAACCAGUUUCCACCGACCACAUUCUGGUCACGUUAACAAGAAAGAAGCAGUCUCGCCCAGCAAACAGAGAAAUCAUUGCUGAAGCACAUACACUAUCAGCUGCGGCGUCAGAUUAUUCAUCGGGGGAUCUCUCAGCACUCUCGGCCUCAAGUCAUUAUGCACUUCCCAACUUCCAUCAGAUUUUCUUACGAAAGCUGUGAAGUGUCCUGGUGUUUGAUUGAUCAGCCCAGCAAGGACGUACCUGCAAUUUAAUAAAAAAUUAUUACAUUAAUCGUUUGAGGUGAGGGCUAUAAAUUUUAUUUAUUAUGCUUGACUAUUGUUAGUAUUUUCAUAAUUGGUUUAGCUUCUAGGUCAGUUUUUUAAUUAAAUCUUUAUGCAAAGUUUCUGCAUUUCUUUCUUUCUUCUGCAUUUUUUCCUUAUCAUAAUUAUGUUGGAUCGGUAAAAGAUUUCAAUUUUGAAGGGGAGGGGGGGUUGACUGAUGUAAUAUGACAUUUAACUGAACAAACUAAAGAUUCAAUCUUUGCAAGAGGCGAGUUAACAAUCAAAUCAGCUGGUGGAAAAACUGCAAAUGUACAUUUUUCCAUCUUUCGAGGUUUUUUGUUCGUAAGACGCAAGCGGAUUUGAAGGAAGCAGAGGUAACCUCUUGGAUUCUUUUCAAUCUUGCGAUUUAAAGACUUGCACAGUUUCUUGCAGUUUCCUCAAAAUGAAAAAAAUGGACUAUGAUGGUUUUAACACAAGCUGGUUCAAUUCUCCUUGCCUCUAUUGUUCCUGAGAAAUACACAGAAUUUCAGCACUUGCAGGAUUCUCAUCCAUAGUGGUUAACUUUCAGCACAAAGCGAGAAUUUUUGAGACAUUGCCGAACACAUUUUGCUGAAAUACUGCUUUAUCUUUCCAUUUCAAAGGAAAAAUUUUAAGUAACUUAUUUCCACAUCUCCUUCUUGAAGUCUUGCACUUGACCGAAAUUUCUUAACUGAUAAAAGAUUUCUUUGCCUGGAAUCAUUAAUAGAGGCGUGAAGCAUUCUACUAAAAUAAUUUCAAGUGUCCUUCAAGAAUUUCAAAAGUAAAUAUUUUUCUACUAAAGACAGAGCGUGAUUUUUUCUUUAGCAGUCUUCUCCUAAUUGUUUUGUCUGCUGAAUAGUCAAAGCAAUGCAACCACUUCAUCAUAGUGUUUGUUGUGGAUCAGCAAUAAGCAGUCUAAAUUAUGCGCUCUGCAGUUCAUUUUUCCUUCCUAUUCUUUUGCCCUAAGCCGUUUGUAAAUUUUU